rnacentral:rRNA from 1 species
CCUACGGGAGACAGCAGUGAGGAAUAUUGGUCAAUGGUCGGGAGACUGAACCAGCCAAGCCGCGUGAGGGAUGAAGGUACAGAGUAUCGUAAACCUCUUUUGUCAGGGAACAAAGGCGGGGACGCGUCCCCGGAUGAGUGUACCUGAAGAAAAAGCAUCGGCUAACUCCGUGCCAGCAGCCGCGGUAAUACGGAGGGCGCGAGCGUUAAUCGGAAUUACUGGGCGUAAAGCGCGCGUAGGCUGUUGUGUAAGUUGGGGGUGAAAUCCCACGGCUCAACCGUGGAACAGCCCUUGAUACUGCGCGACUUGAAUCCGGGAGAGGGUGGCGGAAUUCCAGGUGUAGGAGUGAAAUCCGUAGAUAUCUGGAGGAACAUCAGUGGCGAAGGCGGCCACCUGGACCGGUAUUGACGCUGAGGCGCGAAAGCGUGGGGAGCAAACAGGAUUAGAUACCCGAGUAGUC